rfam:Penicillium digitatum PHI26 unplaced genomic scaffold Scaffold_39, whole genome shotgun sequence.
UCAUAUGAUGCCGUAAUUUGCGAUUGACCCAGUGUCUGUGAGGCCCUCGCCGGGGCACUCUAUACAGCACUGUCGGAUGAUAUUCAAUUUUCUUACAUAUUCUGAUA